rnacentral:tRNA from 1 species
AGCGGUAUCGUACAAUGGUCAGUAUAUCCGGCUCUGACCCGGAAGAUACAGGUUCAAAUCCUGUUACCGCUG